GAACCUUCGGGGAACGAUAACGGCGUCGAGCGGCGGACGGGUGAGUAAUGCCUAGGAAAUUGCCCUGAUGUGGGGGAUAACCAUUGGAAACGAUGGCUAAUACCGCAUGAUGCCUACGGGCCAAAGAGGGGGACCUUCGGGCCUCUCGCGUCAGGAUAUGCCUAGGUGGGAUUAGCUAGUUGGUGAGGUAAGGGCUCACCAAGGCGACGAUCCCUAGCUGGUCUGAGAGGAUGAUCAGCCACACUGGAACUGAGACACGGUCCAGACUCCUACGGGAGGCAGCAGUGGGGAAUAUUGCACAAUGGGCGCAAGCCUGAUGCAGCCAUGCCGCGUGUGUGAAGAAGGCCUUCGGGUUGUAAAGCACUUUCAGUCGUGAGGAAGGUAGUGUAGUUAAUAGCUGCAUUAUUUGACGUUAGCGACAGAAGAAGCACCGGCUAACUCCGUGCCAGCAGCCGCGGUAAUACGGAGGGUGCGAGCGUUAAUCGGAAUUACUGGGCGUAAAGCGCAUGCAGGUGGUUUGUUAAGUCAGAUGUGAAAGCCCGGGGCUCAACCUCGGAAUUGCAUUUGAAACUGGCAGACUAGAGUACUGUAGAGGGGGG
rnacentral:rRNA from 1 species